rnacentral:rRNA from 1 species
AUUGAACGCUGGCGGCAUGCUUUACACAUGCAAGUCGAACGGUAACAGGGUGCUUGCACCGCUGACGAGUGGCGAACGGGUGAGUAAUGCGUCGGAACGUGCCGAGUAGUGGGGGAUAACGCAGCGAAAGUUGUGCUAAUACCGCAUACGUACUGAGGUAGAAAGUGGGGGACCUUCGGGCCUCACGCUAUUCGAGCGGCCGACGUCUGAUUGGCUAGUAGGUGAGGUAAAGGCUCACCUAGGCGACGAUCAAUAGCGGGUCUGAGAGGAUGAUCCGCCACACUGGGACUGAGACACGGCCCAGACUCCUACGGGAGGCAGCAGUGGGGAAUUUUGGACAAUGGGCGAAAGCCUGAUCCAGCCAUGCCGCGUGUCUGAAGAAGGCCUUCGGGUUGUAAAGGACUUUUGUCAGGGAGGAAAUCCCUAGUGCUAAUAACACUGGGGGAUGACAGUACCUGAAGAAUAAGCACCGGCUAACUACGUGCCAGCCGCCGCGGUAA